rfam:Salmo salar isolate Sally breed double haploid chromosome ssa19, whole genome shotgun sequence.
UUCAAAAACUACUGUAAGUCGCUCUGGAUAAGAGCGUCAGCUAAAUGUAAAAAA